GGAAAGAUAGCUCUAAUAGGUAGAGCGGUAGGUUGAAGCCCUACGCGUUGGAGGUUCGAGUCCUUCUCUUUCCA
rnacentral:tRNA from 1 species